rnacentral:rRNA from 1 species
AGUGAACGCUGGCGGUAGGCCUAACACAUGCAAGUCGAACGGCAGCACAGUAAGAGCUUGCUCUUACGGGUGGCGAGUGGCGGACGGGUGAGGAAUACAUCGGAAUCUACUUUUUCGUGGGGGAUAACGUAGGGAAACUUACGCUAAUACCGCAUACGACCUACGGGUGAAAGCAGGGGAUCUUCGGACCUUGCGCGAUUGAAUGAGCCGAUGUCGGAUUAGCUAGUUGGCGGGGUAAAGGCCCACCAAGGCGACGAUCCGUAGCUGGUCUGAGAGGAUGAUCAGCCACACUGGAACUGAGACACGGUCCAGACUCCUACGGGAGGCAGCAGUGGGGAAUAUUGGACAAUGGGCGCAAGCCUGAUCCAGCCAUACCGCGUGGGUGAAGAAGGCCUUCGGGUUGUAAAGCCCUUUUGUUGGGAAAGAGAAGCAGAAGGUUAAUACCCCGCUGUUCUGACGGUACCCAAAGAAUAAGCACCGGCUAACUUCGUG